UUGAAUGAUCCAGUGGGCACUCUGUAUUCCUUCAUAAACUGUGUGGUGAAUGUGCGUGUGUGUAUGUAUGUAUAUGCACGUGUUUAUGUGUUUUCUGGGGUUAAUUUCCUUAAAAUAAAAAGGCAACUGUCAAGACUAAAGCUAUAAUAAUUUUUAUGAAUCUUAGAAAAUGUUGAAUUUUUAGUGAUUCCAGAAAUUGAUCUCUAUCGAUGAAACUGCUUUCUCAAAUACGUCAGCAAUGGGAUUCAGGCUUUGCUUACAAUGUGAAGGAAGUUCUUAGUCUCAUUUGCACAAAGAAGGAAGGAGGGCUAAAGAUAAAAAGAACUCAUAGUCUUUUCCAUAGUUUUGGGUCAUGUUCACUGUAAAAAAAAAUCACAAGAUGCCAUUUUUACACAGCCUUUUUAAUCUACACAUACGGCAAGCUAAUAAUUCCAAAAAAAUAAUUUCUUUCCUUUGUAGCCAUUUAAAACUAACAGCUAGAAAUAUUUCUUCUUCCAAUUAUUAAAAAUAAGCUGUUUCUGAGUCGGUGCUGACUACAUUUACUGAUUGAAGCAGCCAACUCCAAAUAUACCAUCUUUUAGUAUUGACACUUAAAAUAAAACUUCUCCCCAGAAAAAGAGUUCUAUAAAUGAUGGCUGUAGAAAUAGGCACUGUCCAGGCAGUUGUUUUGUGGAAGUAGUGUUGUUAUUUUCUGGUGUUUUCCAAGUCAUCUCAGAUGGUGCGUGAAAAUGAGAUGCCAAAGAAGGCUUAAAAAAGAUACCCUGCACCAGCUUCAGAAUGUAAGCAAAUCUUUCAUUCCAGCGCUUAAAAGUUUUGAGAAAGCUAAUCUAAAGUUAAAUGUUUACUAGCAUCUCUCCGAUUAUAUUUUAGAAACUACUGCACAAAAAUAAAACAAAUUUCUUAUUUUCUCUGGGUUGAAAAGUGCACAUAAAAUGGAAAAUGCUUUUUAUACCACUAUUUCCAGCAGGGAUUUUAUUUUCAUUUGUCAUUUGCCAGCCUGGGGUAUGUUGGGAGAAGGAACAAUUGAUUUUUGAAAAGGUGCAUUUGUGUGAAAACCAAAAAUUGUGUUCAACAAAUACUACUACUAACCCAUAUGUGGAUAUAUGUGUUUUAUACAUGAGUAAAAAAAAAAAAAAAAACAUACAUAUAUGUAUGGCAUAUAUAUAUAUAUAUAUAUAUAUAUAUAUGCUAUAGAAAUGCCAUCAAGUUACCAGUUUACUUCUAAAUGUAACUGCUUAAUAUAAAAUAUGCAUCUUUUUGUAGUACCUAAUUCUUGCAAUUCAGUGUAUUUCCUGGCGAGAGGCAGAGAUGAACAACCCUGGACAGUUACCACAUAUGGCUCUUAUGAGAUUCAUCCCACUUCUGAGGUCAGACAUCACAUCUUUUCACUACAUGCCUCUCUUUGGGAGGUUUCUUUCUUGCUAAUCCAAACAAGAACAUCUGCACAAUUGUCAACCUGGAAUUUACUUUAUUAAUCUCCUGGUUUGGAAACACUUUUUCUUGGAUGUUAUAUUUACUUUGGUUUACUAUUUUGUUGGCUUGCACUAAUUUUAUAUGAUUUCUUAAUAAUGAGUGUAUGUUAGACAUUUUACUUGAGUCUUUUCAUAUCACAGUAUGCCUUUAUUUUACCCUCAUAUAUAAUUAAUUUUCAUCUGGGCAUAUAUUUCCAGAUUAGAAAUCAUUUCUUUUCAUACAUUUUAAGGAAUUUAUACAUUUGCAUCUGAAAUUGUAUUCAUUAUCUUCUAGAAACCAAGAGUGGACUUGGUAUCCGUCUGAUUAUAUUUUCUUUGUUGGUAAAGAGCCUCUUUUUUCCCUUUUUAUUUUCAUCUUCUCUUUCUCUAGUGUUUAUAAUCUUAUUUUUAUGAAUGUAGUCUAAUUAUUUAGAACACUGUCUCCGAGUAUGUGUUUAUUUGGGUUUGUGUUUUGAACAUUGCCUCCAGGUGCGAGUUUAUGUGUGUUUAUGUUUCCUAUUUGAGGUUGGACACUUAGAAAAUUUUCUCAAUUCGAAAACUAUUUUCCUUCAGCACUCAGAAAUUUUUAUCAAUGAUUAUUUCCACGAUUAUUUCCUGUCCUUGGUUUUUCGUGUUCUUAACCUAGAAUUCAAUUGUUUAAUGUUAGACCUUACACAUCUUCAAUGUAUCAUAUAUAUUUCACUCAUAUUAUUUAUUGUCAUAUCUUUUGGACUAUUGUGUGAAAGCAAUAAAUGUAUAUUACUUUAUUUAUUGGUAAUGCUCUUCAUUUUCAAAUUUAAUACACACAAAUUGUGCAUACCCACACACAUAUACCACAGAUAUAUUCAUUUUCAGGAUUUCUUUAAGUGUUAUUUUAAAAAUAAUCAUAUUCUUAUUUUGUGAACUGUGGGAUUUCUUGAAACUUUUUGAAAACUCUCAUUAGUCUGUGUUUGUGUGGUUUCUUUAAAUUAUCUCUUCCUUCAGAAUUACUUUUGUGUUUUGAAUUUGAGUCUUUGCCAUUCAUAAGGCGGGCUUUCCUUGAAUACCAGAUAACUCUGAGUUUCCUGUUCAUAUUUAAGAAUAAAUAACCUAAUUUGAA
rnacentral:lncRNA from 1 species